GAUGAACGCUGGCGGCGUGCCUAAUACAUGCAAGUCGAGCGAACAGACGAGGAGCUUGCUCCUCUGACGUUAGCGGCGGACGGGUGAGUAACACGUGGAUAACCUACCUAUAAGACUGGGAUAACUUCGGGAAACCGGAGCUAAUACCGGAUAAUAUAUUGAACCGCAUGGUUCAAUAGUGAAAGACGGUGUUGCUGUCACUUAUAGAUGGAUCCGCGCCGCAUUAGCUAGUUGGUAAGGUAACGGCUUACCAAGGCAACGAUGCGUAGCCGACCUGAGAGGGGGGUCGGCCACACUGGAACUGAACCACGGUCCAGACUCCUACGGGAGGCAGCAGUAGGGAAUCUUCCGCAAUGGGCGAGAGCCUGACGGAGCAACGCCGCGUGAGUGAUGAAGGUCUUCGGAUCGUAAAACUCUGUUAUUAGGGAAGAACAAAUGUGUAAGUAACUAUGCACGUCUUGACGGUACCUAAUCAGAAAGCCACGGCUAACUACGUG
rnacentral:rRNA from 1 species